GUCUUCUCGUAAUCUUUCUCUGCAAAUGCACACGCUAGGAUCGCCUGAAGGAAAAAAUUCAACACCCACAAAUCAGAAAUUUGGGGAGUGCAUGCCUCAACGGUUUAAAAAGAAGACAUAAAGAAUGAGCGUUACCAUUUCUUAGAAACCGACCAAACUGCAACUCUUUAAGGCUAGGAGUUUUCCGAAUAGUGUCUUCUUCAGCAACAAAAGAUGUUGUUAUGCUCACAAGUGGGAAUAUGGUAAUCCUUGAAGCUUGGUUGAAUAUCGCAACAGAGACUCCCACAGCAGCAAGUUCAAUCGCUCCUGUAGAUUUAUGGAAACCAAGUUAAGCAUAAGCAUCAUCAAUGAAAUUACAAAUUACUAAAUUGGUUUGACAUUGCUAUGAAAAGAUAGCGGUCAAUGUAGAGUACAUACCGAUAUGGCCGACGAAAAUGGUGUCAAUAAGAGAGGCAAUGGGAUCAGCAGCAACAGCUAGAGCAGCAGGAAAUGCUAUUCCUAGGAUCUCCUUACCAAGUUUGUCCCACUUGAAAACAAGUCUGGAGGGACAUUUCUUUUAAUCAGUACCAAAAGAGCAUUCAAGAAAUGAGAAAAAAUCGAAGUACAGAGGAAGCCAGAGGGGAGGGGAAAGAAAGAGAAAAAUGGAGCAGAAAGUUAUAUAUACCUUGCAUCCUUGAAGAAAACAUUCAUAGGCAUCUUCCACUUGUUCUUUCUCAUCAUCAAACCAAGCUCAUUAGCCAUAAAUGCUAUCUAGUUUUUGGUUUUUUGAUAUAACAGUCAACCACUUUCUCUCUCUCUUCAGGUGUCACAAAGAAGCAAGGUGUGAAAUCUGCAGACUGAGUGAUUAUGGAGCAAAAAACUUCAGUUACAAUCACAGAAAAACAUGGAAAGUAUGUAAAAGUAGUGCAUAACAGGAAAAAUAAAUGAGGCCCUCCACCAAAAACAUGCAAAAACAGAAAACCAAACUGCAAAGGAAUUGAAACGCAUGGAAGCUCUCUCCUACUCACAUGGUGAUGGUGAAUACUACAAUGUCGAAGAGGUUAUUGACCUCGAAAAUCUACAUGCCAUGGCCCCGAAGAAUACAUGUUCAUGAAUGAGAAAAAAACGCAAAAAGGUAUUCUCUAUCAUACUUAGGAGCAGAGUAAAGGAAGGAGGGAGGAAAUUGCCUCUUCAGUUCUUCCUAGUUUAAAAAAAACGUAGAAAAAGUUAGAAGGACAAGCAUGAUGGGAAUUCUGACAUGUUGGGGAGAUUGUUUCCAUCUUCUCCAUCCCAAUAUUAAUGCUUCUUAGAAUGCAGGAUUCCAAUAAGAACACAUGGCCAAAUCAUGGGGAUCUUUUUUCUUCAAGUUUUUCAAUGAAAGGGAUGGCUGGCUUAAUAUCUCAAAGGGAGAAUGCCUUUUAAUGCAAAGAGAAGGUGAAUUUUUUUUGUAGAGAUUUCAGAAGCAAGUGAAAUUAGUGGUUCAAAUUUGGGUGUACUAUAGAACAAGCCAGUUCUUUCCUCUUGAAAUUUGAGUGUAUAUAUAUAUUGGGUGCUUUUAUCCUAGCCAAAAAUACUUUUGUUAGGACCGAAAGCACUUUUCACUCGAAGUAAAAGGUUUUUCGUAGUAUAUAGAACGUUCGCUUACUCA